rnacentral:lncRNA from 1 species
UUGUUAUUUAUGUAUUAUUGUCAUUUUAUUUAUUUUCUUUUGUUACAUCUUUUGACAUCAGACUCGGACUUCUCUUGAACUGAAUUUUAAUGUGCGUAUUGUUAUUCUUUUACUUUUCUACAUUGGCUAGAGGUAUAGGGGGAGGGUUGAGAUCUCAUAAACAUGUUUAACCCCGCCGCAAUUUUGCGCCUGUCCCAAGUCAGGAGCCUCUGGCCUUUGUUAGUCUUGUAUGAUUUUAAAUUUUAGUUUCUUGUGUAUAAUUCGGAGUUUAGUAUGACGUCCAUUAUCAC